rnacentral:rRNA from 1 species
GAUGAACGCUAGCGGCAGGCUUAAUACAUGCAAGUCGAGGGGCAUCACGAGGUAGCAAUACUUUGGUGGCGACCGGCGGGCGGGUGCGUAACGCGUAUGCAACCUACCUGUUAUUGAGGAAUAACCCGGAGAAAUUCGGACUAAUACCUCAUAUUAUUAUUGAGAGGCAUCUUUUAAUGAUGAAAGAUUAAUUGAUAACAGAUGGGCAUGCGUGUCAUUAGAUAGUUGGUGAGGUAACGGCUCACCAAGUCAACGAUGACUAGGGGUUCUGAGAGGAACAUCCCCCACACUGGUACUGAGACACGGACCAGACUCCUACGGGAGGCAGCAGUAGGGAAUAUUGGGCAAUGGGAGCAAUCCUGACCCAGCCAUGCCGCGUGCAGGAAGACGGCGCUAUGCGUUGUAAACUGCUUUUGUGUAGGGAUAAAGUAUGAUACGUGUAUCAUAUUGCAGGUACUGUACGAAUAAGGAUCGGCUAACUCCGUGCCAGCCGCCGCCGUAAAAC